UACGUAGGGGGGCAAGCGUUUGUCCGGAAUCAUUGGGCGUAAAGCGCGUGUAGGCGGUUACGUAAGUCUGCUGUGAAAGUCGGAGGCUCAACCUUCGAAAGCCGGUGGAUACUGCGUGACUAGAGUACGGAAGAGGAGAGUGGAAUUCCUGGUGUAGCGGUGAAAUGCGCAGAUAUCAGGAAGAACACCCGUGGCGAAGGCGGUUCUCUGGGACGGUACUGACGCUGAGACGCGAAAGCGUGGGGAGCGAACAGG
rnacentral:rRNA from 1 species